AUUGAUCAUCGACACUUCGAACGCACUUGCGGCCCCGGGUUCCUCCCGGGGCUACGCCUGUCUGAGCGUCGCUUGACGAUCAAUCG
rnacentral:miRNA from 1 species